GAUAUCACCUUGUUCGGAAUCCUAAUAUGGAUAACUGCGGAAAUACUGGAGCUAAUACAUGCAACUAAACCCCAACGUAAGGCGGGGUGCAAUUAUUAGAACAGACCAAACGUUUUCGGACGUUGUUUGUUGACUCUGAAUAAUGCAGUUUACUGUCAGUUUCGACUGACUCUAUCCGAAAAGGGUGUCUGCCCUUUCAACUAGAUGGUAGUUUAUUGGACUACCAUGGUUGUUACGGGUAACGGAGAAUAAGGGUUCGACUCCGGAGAGGGAGCCUUAGAAACGGCUACCACGUCCAAGGAAGGCAGCAGGCGCGAAACUUAUCCACUGUUGAGUAUGAGAUAGUGACUAAAAAUAUAAAGACUCAUCCUUUUGGAUGAGUUAUUUCAAUGAGUUGAAUACAAAUGAUUCUUCGAGUAGCAAGGAGAGGGCAAGUCUGGUGCCAGCAGCCGCGGUAAUUCCAGCUCUCCUAGUGUAUCUCGUUAUUGCUGCGGUUAAAAAGCUCGUAGUUGGAUCUAGGUUACGUGCUGCAGUUCGCAAUUUGCGUCAACUGUAGUCGUGACUUCUAAUUUGCUGGUUUGAGGUUGGGUCCGCCCUUCAACUGCCAGCAGGUUUACCUUGAAUAAAUCAGAGUGCUCAAAACAAGUGUUUGCUUGAAUAGCUCAUCAUGGAAUAAUGAAACAGGACUUCGGUUCUUUUUGUUGGUUCUAGAACUGAUUUAAUGGUUAAGAGGGACAAACCGGGGGCAUUCGUAUCAUUACGCGAGAGGUGAAAUUCGUGGACCGUAGUGAGACGCCCAACAGCGAAGCAUUUGCCAAGAAUGUCUUCAUUAAUCAAGAACGA
rnacentral:rRNA from 1 species